rnacentral:rRNA from 1 species
AUUGAACGCUGGCGGCAUGCUUUACACAUGCAAGUCGAACGGCAGCACGGGGGCGAACCCUCGGUGGCGAGUGGCGAACGGGUGAGUAACACAUCGGAACGUGUCCAGUUGUGGGGGAUAACCCAUCGAAAGGUGGGCUAAUACCGCAUGAGCUGGCAACAGGAAAGCGGGGACCCGCAAGGCCUUGUGCGAUUGGAGCGGCCGAUGUCCGAUUAGCUAGUUGGUGGGGUAAAGGCCUACCAAGGCUUCGAUCGGUAGCUGGUCUGAGAGGAUGAUCAGCCACACUGGGACUGAGACACGGCCCAGACUCCUACGGGAGGCAGCAGUGGGAAUUUUGGACAAUGAGGGCAACCCUGAUCCAGCCAU